rnacentral:rRNA from 1 species
GUGGGGAAUAUUGGUCAAUGGGGGAAACCCUGAACCAGCAACGCCGCGUGAAGGAAGAAGGCUUUCGGGUUGUAAACUUCUUUGACAGGGGACGAAACAAAUGACGGUACCCUGAAAACAAGCCACGGCUAACUACGUGCCAGCAGCCGCGGUAAUACGUAGGUGGCAAGCGUUGUCCGGAUUUACUGGGUGUAAAGGGCGUGUAGGCGGGACGGUAAGUCAGAUGUGAAAUGUAGGGGCUCAACCCCUGAACUGCAUUUGAAACUAUCGUUCUUGAGUGAUGGGGAGGCAGGCGGCAUUCCGUGUGUAGCGGUGAAAUGCGUAGAUAUACGGAGGAACACCAGUGGCGAAGGCGGGUUCCUGGCCCAUGACUGACGCUGAGGUGCGAAAGCCGGGGGAGCGAACGGGAUUAGAUACCCCAGUAGUCC